GGGGAUGUGGUCUAGUGGUAUGACGUUUCCUUAGCAUGCUUCGCAUGGAAAAGGUUCAGGGUUCGAUUCCCUGCCUCUCCA